rnacentral:rRNA from 2 species
UUCCGGUUGAUCCCGCCGGACCUGACUGCUAUCGGAUUGAUACUAAGCCAUGCGAGUCUUUGUAGUAAUACAAGGCAGACGGCUCAGUAACGCGUAGUCAACCUACCCUAUGGACGGGAAUAAUCUCGGGAAACUGAGCAUAAUACCCGGCGUACCACCAUUCCUGGAAUGGUUGGUGGUUAAAAUGAUUCGUCGCCGUAGGAUGGGACUGCGACCUAUCAGCUUGUUGGUGAGGUAAAGGCCCACCAAGGCGAUUACAGGUACGGGCUCUGAGAGGAGAAGCCCGGAGAUGGGUACUGAGACACGGACCCAGGCCCUAUGGGGCGCAGCAGGCGAGAAAACUUUGCAAUGUGCGAAAGCACGACAAGGUUAAUCCGAGUGAUUUCUGCUAAAGGAAUCUUUUGCCAGUUCUAAAAAUACUAGUGAAUAAGGGGUGGGCAAGUUCUGGUGUCAGCCGCCGCGGUAAAACCAGCACCUCAAGUGGUCAGGAGGAUUAUUGGGCCUAAAGCAUCCGUAGCCUGCUCUGUAAGUUUUCGGUUAAAUCUAUAUGCUCAACAUAUAGGCUGCCGAAAAUACUGCAGUGCUAGGAAGUGGGAGAGGUAGACGGUACUUGAUAGGAAGGGGUAAAAUCCUUUGAUCUAUCGAUGACCACCUGUGGCGAAGGCGGUCUACCAGAACACGUUCGACGGUGAGGGAUGAAAGCUGGGGGAGCAAACCGGAUUAGAUACCCGGGUAGUCCCAGCUGUAAACGAUGCAGACUAGAUGAUGCAUUGGCAUAUAGCCAGUGCAGUGUCUCAGGGAAGCCGUUAAGUCUGCCGCCUGGGAAGUACGUACGCAAGUAUGAAACUUAAAGGAAUUGGCGGGGGAGCACCACAAGGGGUGAAGCCUGCGGUUCAAUUGGAUUCAACGCCGGG